GGUCGGGAUAGCUCAGCUGGUAGAGCAGAGGACUGAAAAUCCUC
rnacentral:tRNA from 5 species